rnacentral:tRNA from 1 species
GGAGCAGUAGCUCAGUGGUAGAGCUUCCUCCUCGUACGCGGGAAGACAUGGGUUCGAUUCCUGGGUGCUUUU